GUAGCUGUAGGAGAGGAACGUUAAGACCUUGUUUGGACGCGGGUUCGACUCCCGCCAGCUCCACCA
rnacentral:tRNA from 1 species